rnacentral:rRNA from 1 species
AUUGAACGCUGGCGGAAUGCUUUACACAUGCAAGUCGAACGGCAGCACGGACUUCGGUCUGGUGGCGAGUGGCGAACGGGUGAGUAAUAUAUCGGAACGUGCCCAGUCGUGGGGGAUAACGUAGUGAAAAUUACGCUAAUACCGCAUACGAUCUAUGGAUGAAAGCGGGGGAUCGCAAGACCUCGCGCGAUUGGAGCGGCCGAUAUCAGAUUAGGUAGUUGGUGAGGUAAAGGCUCACCAAGCCAACGAUCUGUAGCUGGUCUGAGAGGACGACCAGCCACACUGGAACUGAGACACGGUCCAGACGCCUACGGGAGUCAGCAGUGGGGAAUUUUGGACAAUGGACGCAAGUCUGAUCCAGCCAUUCCGCGUGCAGGACGAAGGCCUUCGGGUUGUAAACUGCUUUUGUACAGAACGAAAAGGUUUCUAUUAAUACUAGGGGCUCAUGACGGUACUGUAAGAAUAAGCACCGGCUAACUACGUGCCAGCAGCCGCAGUAA